rnacentral:rRNA from 1 species
CCUACGGGAGGCAGCAGUGAGGAAUAUUGGUCAAUGGGCUUACGCCUGAACCAGCCAAGUCGCGUGAGGGAAGACUGCCCUAUGGGUUGUAAACCUCUUUUGUCAGGGAGCAACGCCGGCUACGUGUAGCCGGACUGAGAGUACCUGAAGAAAAAGCAUCGGCUAACUCCGUGCCAGCAGCCGCGGUAAUACGGGGGAUGCGAGCGUUAUCCGGAUUUAUUGGGUUUAAAGGGUGCGUAGGCGGACUGGAAAGUCAGCGGUAAAAUCGAGAGGCUCAACCUCUUUCCGCCGUUGAAACUGUCGGUCUUGAGUGGGCGAGAAGUAUGCGGAAUGCGUGGUGUAGCGGUGAAAUGCAUAGAUAUCACGCAGAACUCCGAUUGCGAAGGCAGCAUACCGGCGCCCGACUGACGCUGAGGCACGAAAGCGUGGGUAUCGAACAGGAUUAGAUACCCGAGUAGUC